rnacentral:rRNA from 1 species
AAUAUUGGACAAUGGGCGAAAGCCUGACGCAGCAACGCCGCGUGAGGGAUGACGGCCUUCGGGUAGUAAACCUCUUUUAGCAGGGAAGAAGCGUAAGAGACGGUACCUGCAGAAAAAGCACCGGCUAACUACGUGCCAGCAGCCGCGGUAAUACGUAUGGUGCAAGCGUUGUCCGGAUUUAGUGGGCGUAAAGAGCUCGUAGGCGGUUUUUCGCGUCUGCUGUGAAAUCUGGGGGCUCAACCCCCAGCCUGCAGUGGGUACGGGCAGACUAGAGUGCGGUAGGGGAGACUGGAAUUCCUGGUGUAGCGGUGGAAUGCGCAGAUAUCAGGAGGAACACCAAUGGCGAAGGCAGGUCUCUGGGCCGUAACUGACGCUGAGGAGCGAAAGCGUGGGUAGCGAAC